UUUUUUGCCGUCUGGUCAUCCUCGUCGGUCUUCUGCUUCUGGGUAUCGACAUCGUUAUCCUCAUCAUCUUCAGCUGCCCGCUUGCCCGUAGCUGACUCAGCUCCCUCAUCUUCAUCUCCAUCCUCUUCCUCACCAUCACCUUCUUCCUCCCCACCUUCUUCCUCUUCUUCAUCUACCUCGUUGUCAGCCUCCGGCUCCCCAUUUUCCUCAUUAGCAUUCCCGUGAGCAGGGGCGUCUCUUCCAUUUUCCGCCUCUUCCACAACUUCCUUCUUCUCCUUUAAGUCCUCGGUGGUGAUUUCGGAGCUGGUGUCUACGGCUGCGUCUGACAUGGUGGGGCACGCCGGUGACGCGAUGCAGGGGAUAAAAAAGAAAGCGACAGUUCAGGGACUCUGGCGAUAAAGCUGCCGGAGUCCGCGGCGGCGGAGGCGGCUGCGGCGAGCAAGGAGGCUGACGACGCACAAUGCAAAGACGGCUUUUCAGAGCAGCCAGUGGGGCAGGACAAUGUUUUUCAUCAAAUGUCCUUAGAUUUGGAGGAGGUUUCCCCAGUGUAUCCAGUGGUUGUCUUCCUCUUGAUUAAUAUUAAAGGAGGAGAAAAAGUGUGUAUUGGGGUCAGUGCAGAAAACAAAUCAUCCAAGCACACGAAGUGGAAUUUGCUAAUAGCAUUACUACUCACCCAGUGACUUCGGAGUCACAACCCAGGACACGGUUUUCCGCCCAUUUCUACAGACACAGUGAGAUUCUUCAUUCUUCUCUGUUGGAACAGCCAGGAAAGCGGAAGAGACCUCCAGCUGCACAACGACCUGUCCCCCACACCCAACCACAAGUUUAUGAAGGGAUGCAGAACAGCAUGAAUACUGCAAAAGAUGCUCUGUGCAUCAGGGUGUGAAGAGGAUACUGACCCACCAGAAAGAGACCCCACUGCUAGAACGAAUAAGAUGUGCUGAAAGCCGGAGCAUAACUUGGCCAUUCCCAAGAUUUAACAACAAACUAACUACCCAUCAUUAACAGUAAAGAAAGAAAACAAUCAGUAAGAGAUUAUAUAGACCUAAGAGAUGUUACAGACCGAAGAAGAACCUAUGGAGGAAGACAGGAAGAUGAGAGAGAUUUGAAGAUGGUAUGUGGCUGAAUUUGAAGAUAGAGAAAGGAACCGCAAGCAAAGAAUGCAAGAGGUCUCUAGAAGCUGGAAAAGGCAAGGAAAGAGUCUCCCCUCAAGCUCCAGCAGGAAUGCAGUCCUGACACCUUGAGUUUAGCCUAGUGAGACUUCUGACCUCCAGAACUAGAAGAUACAAGUGGUGUUUUAAGGCACUAAAACGAAGAACUAGAAGUAUUGUUUUAAGCCCAUAAAUUUGUGAUAAUCUGUUACAGUAGUAAUAGGCAAUGCAUACACAAGCACACAAAGUAAAAUUUUUCUGUGGUUAUUUUCCAUAUUUUUUCAGUUAUUUUCUGCCUUUUGAAGACAUUAAAGACAUAAAAUGAAUAUGUAUUAGUUUAGGAAUAAAAUUUAAAAUGUAGGAAUGCUAUAAAAGAAGAAAAAAUUUUAACUGGGCUAAAGCAAACCCAGUAUGUCAUCCUAUUACAUCAGCUUCUUCAUCUUUGGAUGAAGAGGUUGGUGACUGUUUCUUCUAAUGUGAGAAUAGCUCCAAAUUGCUAAAUUGUUCAGAAUUUGACAAGAUGAAAGAGGAAAGAAAAAGGAAAUCUUGAAAACAUUUACUGUUUCCUUGUUCAAUGGAUAACACAUGGAUUCCUGAUUGGGAGAUUUUUCCUCUUGCUUUGAUCUGAAGGCAGAAGGAAAUAUAUUCAUUAUUGUUUAAAAGAAUACAUUUUAACCUAACUUUAAAACAUUCAUGAUAUAUUUGUGAACCAUAAUCUUAUUACCCCAACCUAGAAGUUAUUUUGAUCACUAAACUUCCUUUUCAAUAUCUUCAUAUAUGUGUCUUUACAUACUUUAAAUAAAAAAUAUAUAAUUGUAUAACGUUUUAUUAUUUUAUUUAAUAUUUAUCACUUCUAAUAAAUAUAUGUAAAUAUGUAAACAGAAUUUAUGUAUUUUUUCAACAAACAUUUCAAACAUCUACCUUAUGCAAAGCAAUAUAUAGUGAAGGCAGAUAUAAAGUAUAAAUAAGUAUUCUCUAAUAUUGCCUCUAUUUUAAAAAAACUAAAUGUAUUGAGCAUUCUCUAUAUGCCAGGAACUGAACUAAGUAAUUUACUGUUAAUUUACACUAUAAUUCCAUGAAGUAGGUAUUAAUAUUAUCUCCAGGACUAAAGUGAGAUGAUUGACAUUUCUCUUUCCAGAUGAAAUUAGGUAAGUUAUCCAAGGUCAUGUAUCUAGGAAGCAAUAAAUCUAGGAAAUUCAAAUUUAUUGUUAAUUUUUCUAUUUUUUUAUGGAAUUAAGAAAAUGUUAUUUAUAGUUAAUGCUCUUAUACAGAAUUCCCUAUAUUUAACUUUUUCUUCUUAAAAUGACUUAUUUGAGUAACUAUGAGCCUUGGACAUUUUCAAUUUGGGGGCAUUCGUGGGAAUAUUGGCCUCAAAAGUAUCACUCCAAUUUAUAGUCUGCCUGUUAAUAUACCUUUUCCUUGCAAUCACACCAGUCAUGAGCUUUGUAAAAUAAUUAGAAUUGAAUAUUUUUCCAGAAGAUUGUUUAUAAGUUUUAUUUCCUUUUGAAUGAGUUCAUGGUUCUUAGCUUUUGCUUCUUUAUCUACUGAGUUCUAAGAAAACAUUUUCUCUUUGACUAAAAACAUUUUAUCCUAGGCUCUUUCCUCUCCUGCUCAAUAAGUUGCCAUUGGAACUCUGCAAGGAAAAAUUCUAAAAGUUUCAGUGGUGAAUAGAGCAUAAAUGAGAAAUUAAAGCAUUAAUAUUUGUUAGGAAGUAACUUCUCUUCUAGCACAAAAACAAUACAAAAUAUAUUAUUGUUAUCUUAUAAAUGGCAUUACUUAGACAGGAACCCAGCAAUUUUGGAGUCUACACAAUCAGAAGGAGCUACAGUGGGUCUUAUUCUUACCAAAUAGUAGAAGGUUAAUUCUUUUUCAUCCCUGAGAAUCUGUUUAUUCAGAAUGUAGUGUGCUUGAAUCUCCUGGGUUUGUCCACAGGUCAAAGUACCAAUAAUAGGUUUGAGGUGAAUAUAACUCUUGCUUGGGGAAAAAAAAUGCUUUGCAGUAUGAGAUGUUUGCGUAUGAAAUUCAUCAAGCCACCAGUUAUCAGAACAAUUGUUACUCUCUUUGUAUUUGACCUAAUGGAAGAAUAAAUAAGCUGUUUUAUAUAUAAUAUAUAUAUGAUUGCAAAAAUAUAUAAAAAUAUGCAUAUUAUAUAUGUUUGUAUAUAUAUACAUAAAGCAAUAUAAUAAAGCCAU
rnacentral:lncRNA from 1 species